AAACAAGAGUGCACACGCUGAAAUGUCUUGCCUUCUUUACUAAUCAUUGAUAUUAUGUUGAUAGUCCUAAAUAUAAAGCUUUAUUACAACUGUCACAUAAACUUAACAUUAACCAAGAAAACUAAACACUGACCAAUGAACCAUGAAAAUGAGGUCAAGGUCAGAUGAACCAUGCUAGGCAGACAUGUACAGUUAACAAUUCUUCCAUAUAACAAAUAUAGCUGACCUAUUGCUUAUAGUUUAAGAAAAACAGACCAAAACACAAAAACUUAACACUGAGCAAUGAACCGUGAAAAUGAGGCCAAGGUCAUAUAAAACCUGUGCGACUGACAUAUAGAUCAUAAAAUAUUUCCAUACACCAAAUAUAGUUGACCUAUUGCAUAUAGUAUUAGAAAAAAAGACCAAAACUCAAAAACUUAACUUUGACCACUGAACCAUGAAAACGAGGUCAAGGUCAGAUGACACCUGCCAGCUAGACAUGUACACCUUACAAUCAUUCCAUACACCAAAUAUAGUAGUCCUAUUGCAUACAGUAUAAGAAAAACAGACCAAAACACAAAAACUUAACUAUAACUACUGAACCAUGAAAAUGAGGUCAAGGUCAUAUGACACCUGCCAGUUGGACAUGUACACCUUACAGUCCUUCCAUACACCGUA